CUAAUAAGCGAGAAUGGGCGCGAACUCAACGAUCUGAGACAAGAGGUAUCGUCACUUAAACGCCAGCUGGAUGGUGCAGUGGAUAGCAUAAGGCGACUUGAGAGAAGAAUGGAAUCUUCAGAGCACAAUUUAGCGCUCAGGAACGUUGUUCUCUCAGACAUCGAGGAAUAUGUCCGACAGCAGCAAGUUUCCACGUACGACGGGACACUGCUUUGGAAAAUAUCGGAUUACGCUCGCCGAAGAAACGAUGCCAUCAGCGGAAACCAGACGUCUAUUUAUAGCCCGUGUUUUUACACCAGUCGCCACGGGUACAAAAUGUGCGCCCGUCUGUAUUUGAAUGGGGACGGCAUGGGCAAAGGAACACACUUGUCGCUGUUUUUUGUCGUCAUGCGCGGCGAGUUUGACGCGUUACUCCGCUGGCCAUUCAGACAGAAGGUCACCAUGAUGUUGUUGGAUCAAGACAAUGUGGAGCAUGUGAUCGAUGCGUUCAGACCCGAUCCAACCAGCUCGUCUUUCCAAAGGCCCAGGCGGGAGACAAACAUUGCAAGCGGGUGCCCCUUGUUUUGCCCACUGUCAGAGUUGAAUAAUCACGCCUACGUACGAGACGACACCAUGUUCUUAAAGAUUAUAGUGGAUACUCUGGAUCUCUAAACAUAUAACUAAGACAACCUUGUAAGUUACAGUUAGAGAAUCGGGGGAAUAAGUUUCGUAUUUGCGGUCAAUACCGUAAAGCUUUUAAUCACUUAUCAAAGAACAGCGCUAUAAGUGCGAGCAAUCUACACUACUUCAGAAGUCCAUUAGUACCUUUGAGAAGAACAUUGCCAGCGAGCUCAGUCCGGUCUCGACAGCCAGAAUUUUCCAUCAACCGAUACUUUCUCCCCCGACUUUAGAAGCAGACAAUAGUGUCAAAAUCUCGAAAAGAAAGUUAGCCUUUGAACAAGCUCCCGAUUGGGUUACAGGGCAAAAAAGACUAUGGCGAGCGGAGCUUGUUGACUUGCUUCGCUCGCCGAAUUUUUUACACCUCGCAUGGAGCCUGUUAACAAGCUAGAGGAAUCUGAUCUGACUCGUCCUCAGACGUCCACUAAAAGGUGACUAGGGUCGAAUCAGAAUAACUAUUUAUCUAACUGAUUAUAAGAGCGGUUUUCAAUUGAGUGUUUAUAAGUGACCACAACCAAAGUAAUCACGGGCAAAUCAGGGAGAAUACUGACAAUCCAGUAAACCAAUCAAGACUCGAAUCACAUACAUGUGGCUGACGCAAGACGCGGCAAAACGUGUAUGAGCAAGUCGCGAGUGGUUUAACUUUUGGUUUCAAGUCCGACUGGAUGAGAAAGUGGUAGGAUAUUUUUAAGCCAAUCGCAAAGCGUAUUAAUGUAACCAAAGCUAAUGAGGAUUACUUUUGACACUGAAGUGAAAAGCGCUCUUUAAUUAACUCAGUGUUCUUUUAAAGGUCAAAUGAACCAAAAUUUAGACACUUUUUCCAUUUGAGUUCAGUGUGUUCAUUAAGUAUAAAAUAAACAUAUUCUGAAGUUUCAAACGAAUUGGAAGAAGCAUUGCGGAAAUAUUGGAAAGUUAACAUCAUUGUUUUUUAUCCUUCAUAAUCGUAGAGCGGUCGGGAAAAUUGUCGAACAAUUGUCGGAAAUAAAACUUGUGACGUCACUGUUGGUGAGCUCAAGAAAUGCGGGAAAUUUGAAACUGCUUUGGUUUCAAGUUCUCAGUGAACUUCAAAGGAAAACCACUCAAAAUCAAAGGUUAGCACUUUCAAGUUCCCCCAGGACCGAAAACUUAAAGGAGAAUGGCUUAUAAAAAUGAAAAGAGAAUGCUUUAUUCCCUCGAAGUGUUCGCGCGUUUGUGUAAAACACUUUACCGAAGACAGCUUCGAACUAAAUCUUGUAGUAAGGAGUUUGUUGGGACUCUCUUUCAGCUUCGUAAACUUGUAGUCAAGAAAGACGCGGUACCGACGAUUUUUAACUUCACUAUAGAACGUUGCAAGUCGGCAAUUGGACAAAAAAAACAACGAAAAACAAGCGAAUAAUGCCCUCCGAUGAUGACUUUGCACUAUAACUAUCUCUGCUUGAAUGAAACUUAGUAUGUGGCAUUGUUGAUAAUUCUCUGCCAUCUCUUUUUCAGAAACAAGAGGGUAAUUUAUUGCCUGAAUUGGGAUAAAGAAGACAUCACGAGAAGUACCCAUGACUAAAGCAGUGGUAGAUUCUCUAACAGCUCUUGCACCUGUAGGUCAACAUGUCAGUGAAGUUGCACAUGAGCAUGUGCCGGCAUUGAGGCAGUGGCUAGCAACCAAAGGGAUCAGAAACUCAUAUGACAGCUGGCAUGGGUGUCAAGAAGGCCAUCAAAAAGGUUGCCAGUAGGCUUGUUAGGGACUCAGAGAGGUCUUGGCUUGCAGAGUUGUCAGACAAAGGUAAUUUUCCAUUUGAGGAGACAUGCCUGUGCAGAAAGUUAUUUACAUAAAGUUUACUUGUGAUGUGGCCUGUCUGUAUUUUAUUAUCAUCCACUGGAUCCUGAGUAACUUUUGUGGUGAAAAUCUUAUGCAUUAUACCGUUGUUAGUUGAAGUUAAAAAAGCGUUCUAAGAAUGAAUUCCGUUGUUUUGACAGUGAAGUGCACCAAGACGCAUAUUUAUUAUGCAAUGAAGAAUUGUAAUGGUGAUGCAGACAAGCUGAAACGAUACAUAGUAAACAUUGUAGACCAUUACCAGGUGAUCGAGCCCUUUGCACCUCAUCAUUAUCAAGGUUGUACAAGCUACUGAAUCGGAACCUCUAGCUCUACACAGUAAACAUUGUUCGUAUGGUCGAAAGGUUGUUUAAUUCAUUUUAUCUGUGUGGCACAGGGGGAUCACUCCAAUUGCCAUCAGGAGUCUCGAUGUCAUCAGCAAGCCUAUGAAUGCAGCAAAAACUGACCCCUUGUUACUGCACAGGCUAUUGCAGCAUACCGGAAGGCUGUAGUGGGGACCAACCCCUAAAAAUUCGCUGAAGAUUAUGCCUUGGUAGUACCGGGAUUCAUACAUCAAUACCUAUUGAGUGGAAUUGUAUCUUUACUCCACAGAUCUGCAAAUAACCACUUUAUUUCAUACAGUAUGUGGAAAGUCAACGAGUGGGCAGUAACAUUCCUCCCACCAAACAAACGAACGCUUGCACUACUCACUGCACAUAGUAAUGUUUAUUAAUUUAUGAACAUGAAGCGCUUCCAUUUCAGUCGUAAAGACACCAAUGAAAUGAGAAUGCAGCUUACGGUACUAGACUGGGGAUGUACCACAAUACUUUUAUUAGUAUUACAUGUAUCUUCACAAAAAGUGGCAGUACCUCAGUUACAAGAAUUUACAUCAAGUACACUCCCUUGUUUGAACCUGUUAUUAGUACUGA